GACGAAGCGUGCAAACGUUAUUCGGAAUCACUGGGCUUAAAGCGUGCGUAGGCGGCUCAGUAAGUUGGGUGUGAAAUCCCUCGGCUCAACCGAGGAAUUGCGCUCAAAACUACUGAGCUCGAGGGAGUUAGAGGUGAGCGGAACUAAUGGUGGAGCGGUGAAAUGCGUUGAUAUCAUUAGGAACACCGGUGGCGAAGGCGGGUCUCUGGGCAGAAACUGACGCUGAGGAGCGAAAGCGUGGGGAGCGAACAGG
rnacentral:rRNA from 1 species